GUAUUUCUACAGUAGCCCUGGGGAACAAAACUACUCGGAAUUUCAUCUCGUUGAGACUAGCGAAUGAAAACAUGACUGAGAAAGUCGCAAUGCAUUCAUUUCACCAGCGAUGUCCUGCUGGGUGUGUGUUUUGUUUUAACAAUGCACACAUUCUCCAGGGCUGUGAUUUUGUUCUGUUUGUUCACUGGGAAACGCAGGGGUGUGGUGACUUUAGCCUUCUUAACCCAUCAAACCUAUCAGUAGUGUUUAACACGCCAACAUUAUGCCAGGAAGUCCUGGAGAUUGCUAGAAUGAAUCUAUCCUGCGCUCAACGUGGGAUUGUUGUUUUCAGCGAAAGAGCCUCGCUUGUGAGGACGAGGGCAGAGUGACUGAAAUUUUUAGAAAAUUUAUUUAUUUAAGCAAUCUCUACACCUGAUGUGGGGCUGGAACUCACGACCUCAAGGUCAAGAGCUGCACACUCCACCGAAUGAGCCAGGCAGGAGCCCCAGGAAAACCACCUUUUCCAGCACCAUCUAGAAAGAUGGUCAGGCUCCUCAGGUGAUUCUGAUGCAGCCCCGCCGAGCUUUGGGAUCCUGCAGAUUAAAUAAAUUCUGGGACGGACCUCAGGAAGUCCACUUUGUCUCAUCUUCC